UACGUAGGGGGCGAGCGUUGUUCGGAAUUAUUGGGCGUAAAGGGCGUGUAGGCGGUGCGGUAAGUCGGACGUGAAAUCUCCGGGCUUAACCCGGAGGGGUCGUUCGAUACUGGAAAGCUCGAGUCCGGGAGAGGUGAGUGGAACUGCGAGUGUAGAGGUGAAAUUCGUAGAUAUUCGCAAGAACACCAGUGGCGAAGGCGGCUCACUGGCCCGGUACUGACGCUGAGGUGCGAAAGCGUGGGGAGCAAACAGG
rnacentral:rRNA from 1 species